AGAGAAGAGGUAGGGUAUGAGGAGGAGAGAGAGAAGAGGUAGGGUAUGAGGAGGAGAGAGAGAAGAGGUAGGGUAUGAGGAGGAGAGAGAGAGAAGAGGUAGGGUAUGAGGAGGAGAGAGAGAGAAGAGGUAGGGUAUGAGGAAGAGAGAGAGAAGAGGUAGGGUAUGAGGAAGAGAGAGAGAAGAGGUAGGGUAUGAGGAGGAGAGAGAGAAGAGGUAGGGUAUGAGGAGGAUGGAGAGAGAGAAGAGGUAGGGUAUGAGGAGGAUGGAGAGAGAGAAGAGGUAGGGUAUGAGGAGGAUGGAGAGAGAGAAGAGGUAGGGUAUGAGGAGGAUGGAGAGAGAGAAGAGGUAGGGUAUGAGGAGGAUAGAGAGAGAGAAGAGGUAGGGUAUGAGGAGGAUGGAGAGAGAGAAGAGGUAGGGUAUGAGGAAGAGAGAGAGAGAAGAGGUAGGGUAUGAGGAGGAGAGAGAGAGAAGAGGUAGGGUAUGAGGAGGAGAGAGAGAGAAGAGGUAGG
ensembl:lncRNA